rnacentral:rRNA from 1 species
GACGAACGCUGGCGGCGUGCUUAACACAUGCAAGUCGAACGGAAAGGCCCUGCUUUUGUGGGGUGCUCGAGUGGCGAACGGGUGAGUAACACGUGAGUAACCUGCCCUUGACUUUGGGAUAACUUCAGGAAACUGGGGCUAAUACCGGAUAGGAGCUCCUGCUGCAUGGUGGGGGUUGGAAAGUUUCGGCGGUUGGGGAUGGACUCGCGGCUUAUCAGCUUGUUGGUGGGGUAGUGGCUUACCAAGGCUUUGACGGGUAGCUGGCCUGAGAGGGUGACCGGCCACAUUGAGACUGAGAUACGGCCCAGACUCCUACGGGAGGCAGCAGUGGGGAAUAUUGCACAAUGGGCGGAAGCCUGAUGCAGCAACGCCGCGUGCGGGAUGACGGCCUUCGGGUUGUAAACCGCUUUCGCCUGUGACGAAGCGUGAGUGACGGUAAUGGGUAAAGAAGCACCGGCUAACUACGUG